GGAGUUUGGACCGUGUCUCAGUUCCAAUGUGGGGGACCUUCCUCUCAGAACCCCUACUGAUCGUUGACUAGGUGGGCCGUUACCCCGCCUACUAUCUAAUCAGACGCAUCCCCAUCCCUUAGCGAUGAAUCUUUGGUUUGAUCUUGAUGUCAGCAUCAAACAACAUAGGGAAUUAAUCCGACUUUCGCCGGGCUAUCCUCUACUAAGGGGAAGGUUGGAUACGCGUUACUCACCCGUGCGCCGGUCGUCAGCAAGAAAAGCAAGCUUUCCUCCUGUUACCCCUCGACUUGCAUGUGUUAAGCCUGUAGCUAGCGUUCAUC
rnacentral:rRNA from 1 species